CCUGACUGAAACACUCUUGCUGAUUGACUUUGGGAAAGUCAUUUAAACUCUCUCUGCCUCACUUUAGCCAUCUGUAAGAUGGGGGAGAAUAUUCACACAUCUUACAGAAAUGCUGUAAGGAAUAAUUAUGAAAUGCUUUUCAACUUAAGCUAAACUGAAAAAGACCAUUGCUAUUCUGAAUAAAAGUGUUAACAUGGGGAGUUAUACCAGCAUAAUAAUAGUGGUAUAUUUAUACAGGUAUAGUAAUAUUAGUAAGUUUCCCCAUGUAGACAAGGCCUAAGCUGCCAAAACAUAUGUGAUUGAGCCCCGUAAAGGCACCAAUAGACAUCCCCAGGCCAAGUAUCCUUCUCCUGAGUGGGAAACAGGCAAAGGGAGCCACAAAAUGAGAAGAAAAGAAUAAAAAAAAGGAAGCAUAAUAACAGAGAUAAAGAAAACAAGAUAAGAAAAAAAGAACAGAGGCACAGAGAGAAAGUGGACAGAAAGAAAGGUGGUAGCAACUGUGCUGGGGUACUGCCUAAAGGGACACUGGGGACAUGGGUGCCAUCUACCAAUCUCUGCAAGAGAGGACUCCACCAGCAAAACGCUGGGAAACAUUGGUUUAUAACAAGGAUCACACUAGCAGUUCCAACCAUGUAAAAUGUGACUAUGCAGCCAUGUUUUUAGAAAGGCUGAAGCAAGAGAGGACACUGGAUUCCGACUCAGGCCAUGCAGCGGUACCAAGGAACUGAGGGGGCAGUUGACCCGCACUGCUGCUUAUACCCUCUCUUGGGAGCAUGAGGAGAGCUACUGCACAUGUGCAGGCCAACAGACACUACUUAUUAAAAUCUCCAGACUCGGGUGCACGCGUACUACAUGUGGAACAAAUAUAAAGACCAGCACUCGAAGAAGAAAUUUAUCUUUUAAUAGCCAUUGAAAAGAUAAAAGAUUGGACAGCUAGCUCCUCAAGAUUUAUAAUCCUGUCUAAAUUAGGGUAGCCUUCCUGGGAUACCGUAUGUCCC